AGUGAACGCUGGCGGCAGGCCUAACACAUGCAAGUCGAGCGGCAGCGGGUCCUUCGGGAUGCCGGCGAGCGGCGGACGGGUGAGGAAUACAUCGGAAUCUGCCCUGUCGUGGGGGAUAACCUAGGGAAACUUAGGCUAAUACCGCAUACGACCUACGGGUGAAAGCGGGGGAUCGCAAGACCUCGCGCGACAGGAUGAGCCGAUGUCCGAUUAGCUAGUUGGCGGGGUAAAGGCCCACCAAGGCGACGUUCGGUAGCUGGUCUGAGAGGAUGAUCAGCCACACUGGGACUGAGACACGGCCCAGACUCCUACGGGAGGCAGCAGUGGGGAAUAUUGGACAAUGGGCGCAAGCCUGAUCCAGCCAUGCCGCGUGGGUGAAGAAGGCCUUCGGGUUGUAAAGCCCUUUUGUCCGGGAAGAAAUCGUCUGGGCUAAUACCCCGGGCGGAUGACGGUACCGGAAGAAUAAGCACCGGCUAACUUCGUG
rnacentral:rRNA from 1 species